UUUUUUUAUUUAUUUUUUAAGAAAACUUCAAAUACCAGUCAUUUCCUAUUUUUUUAUAAAAAAUUUCAAAUACCACACCUUUGGUUUCACACAUUCUCACUUUAAUUUCAUGUAAUUUAAAGUGUACCAAUUUAGUAUCAUGUGAUUUUAAUUUUAUCUUUUUAUUAUCGAUUCCAUUAAUUUUUUUCGUUAAAUCAGUGACAACGUUAAAAUUAAACCGUACUAAAGUAAAUAUUCGAUAAACCUAGAUGGGGUAUCUGAAGUUUUUUUUAUAUAAUUUAACGAAAUAUUAACGAAAAAUGUAACGAAAAGAUAAAAAUAAAACUACAUGACACUAUUUGAUAUACUUUAAACUACAAGAUACUAGAGUGAAAAAAUGCGAAACCACGGAGGUGGCAUUUCAAGUUUACCCUUUCUUAAUUUUAGUACACUAUAAUUUAGGGACCAUUUGAUUGCAUGUAUUUCUAACUGCAGUGCAGUUGAAAAGGUAUGCAUCUAUUAAAUUUUUAUUUAGUAUGAUAUAAUUAGGCCCAACUGCUGCAGUCGCAUCCACCUGAGAAGGCCCAACUGCAGCAGUCGAAGUCGGCUCACCUAUUAAAAAAAAAAAUGAAGUGUGAUUUUUUUUCAUAUGAUUCUUUUUUUUAACACUCGAGAUAGUCGAUUUUCAAAUAUUGAGUUUCCGUGUAAGAAACAGUUUUAAAAAGAUUUCGAAUGACUUUCAUGGAUGAAUAAAUAAAGUUUAAAAACAAAGUCUCUGGAUAAGCAGCACUUUUAAAUAGGAUGAUUGUUGUAAUGUGUAUCGCAUCAUUCAGCGCUUAAGACGUGUUUAGAAGUAUAUAUCAUUUUUAAUGAUGGCUAACUGUAUGAAAUUGUAUCGCAUCUAUUGCUUGCGUAUUGGUAAAUGUAGAUUGUGAAUUAUGAUCAUGAUGUGGUUAUUGUUUAGUACGCUGUGCAAAUACAUUCGAAAAAAAUUUUGUGCAACUUUGAUUUGUAAAAAGAUAUUGUUUUAGACCCCGGGGCGUAACAAGAGAGCUGUAUGAAAUUAUCGGGUUUUUUCAUAAAAUAACCCUCCAAAAAUUUCAAAUUGACAAAAUAAUUCUAUCAAAAUUUUAUUUGGAAAACUAACCCUCCUUUUGCCACGUUGGAUUUUUGCUAUAAAGGCGGUGAAUCAUUCACCGUCUUAUUAAUUAACCGUUUAUCUGUGUUUAACUUCAGGACUUAGAUAAAUUUCAAUAAAUUUAGGGUAUUUUGCACUAAAGGCGGUGAAUGAUUCACCACAUUUAUAGCAAAAAUCUGACGUGACGCCUACGUGGCGAAAUGAGGGUUAUUUUUUCAAAUAAAAUUUUAACAGGAUUGUUUCUCCAAUUUUAAAAUUUUGGCGGGUUAUUUUAUAAAAAAGCCCUGAAAUCAUCCCUUAAUUUGCUAAAUAAUGUUGUUAAAAUUUUUUUUGGUAAAUUAAUUAAUUUUUGCUAACCGGACACCAUAGUGGAAAUAAAAAGAGACAUCAUCAUGAAUUCAUAAUAAAAAAAAAAGCUAGUGAAGGAUGAUUCAAUAAGGCUUUAAAGAUGAUGAAUUAUUCACCAUCUUUUUUUAAAAAAAAAUAGUUUGUGAGUUUGUUAAAAUUAUAUAUUAGUUGUUGAGAUUUUUGUAUGGUUAUUAGAAUUGUACGAGGAGAACAUAUAUAAGAAAAGAGUAAAAGAUAGUAAAUUAUUAACUGUAUUUAAUUAUUAAAAUUUUAAUUAGUAAAUUGAAAACAUUUUUUUUUAAUUUAGCGUCGUAGUGAAAAGAAAAUAGAUAGCGCCAUACUUAAAAUAAUUUACAAGAUGGUAAAUUUUUCAGUCUUCAAUAAGACUUUAAAAACGAUGAAUCAUUCACUGUUUUUAAAAAAUUUUGAUUUAUGUUUUCGUUAAAAAUUAUAUGUUGGUUGUUGAGAUUUUUAUGUAGAUACUAUGAUUAUAUAAAAAAAUAUAAGAAAACAAUAAUGAAUUAUUCUCUUUUUUUUUU
rnacentral:lncRNA from 1 species